GGGUUUGAUUAUGGCUCAGAAUGAACGUUGGCGGCGUGGAUUAGGCAUGCAAGUCGAGCGAGAAGUUUACUUCGGUAAAUGGACAGCGGCGAAAGGGACAGUAAUGUGUAGGUACCUACCCCCCGAUCUGGGAUAGCUGCGGGAAACUGCAGGUAAUACCUGAUAAUGUCUUCGGACCAAAGGUGUGAUUCCGUCAGGGGAGGGGCCUGCAUCCUAUUAGCUUGUUGGUGAGGUAAUGGCUCACCAAGGCAACGAUGGGUAGCGGGUGUGAGAGCAUGACCCGCGUCAUUGGGACUGAGACACUGCCCAGACAUCUACGGAUGGCUGCAGUCGAGAAUCUUCGGCAAUGGGCGAAAGCCUGACCGAGCGACGCCGCGUGCGGGAUGAAGGCCCUCGGGUUGUAAACCGCUGUCGUUGGGGAGGAAAUGCAAAAGGGUUAUCCCUUCUGUUUGACCGAUCCAAGGAGGAAGUACGGGCUAAGUUCGUGC
rnacentral:rRNA from 1 species